GCCAAACAGCUAGCUUAAUUAUACUAUAACUUAACAAUAUAAAUAACACAAAAUAAACCAAACACUAAAAACUAAACCAUUCUUUUACCUUAGUAUGGGAGACAGAAAAGGUAUAUUUACAAAGCAAUAGAAAAAGUACCGCAAGGGAAAGCUGAAAGAGAAAUGAAACAACCCAUAUAAGCAUUAAAAAGCAAAGAUUAAACCUUGUACCUUUUGCAUCAUGAUUUAGCCAGUACACACAAGCAAAGAGAACUUUAGUUUGAAACCCCGAAACCAGAUGAGCUACCCCGAGACAGCCUAUUUAGGGCAAACCCGUCUCUGUGGCAAAAGAGUGGGAAGAACUCCGGGGUAGAAGUGACAGACCUACCGAAUCUGGUGAUAGCUGGUUGCCUAAGAAAUGAAUAGAAGUUCAGCCUCAUAUACCUUAGAUCAAAUAUUAAAUUAAGAUUUCAAAGAAAAACAUGAGAGUUAGUUAAAGGGGGUACAGCCCCUUUAACAAAGGACACAACCUUUUCAGGAGGAUAAAGAUCAUAAUAAUUAAAACACACUGUUCUAGUGGGCCUAAAAGCAGCCACCUAAAUAGAAAGCGUUAAAGCUCAGACAGAAAAAAAGUUUAUUAUACCGAUAACAAAUCUUACUCCCCUACUUAUUAUUAGGCCAAUCCAUAUGGACAUGGAAGAGAUUAUGCUAAAAUGAGUAACAAGAAGGCACGCCCUUCUCCCCAGCACAAGUGUAAACCAAAUCGGACCAACCAUUGGCAAUUAACGAACUCAACCAAAGAGAGUAAUGCGGAUUAUAAAAAGACCAAGAAAAUCCCACAACAAAACAUCGUUGACCCCACACUGGAGUGCCACUAAGGGAAAGACUAAAAGAAAAGGAAGGAACUCGGCAAACACAAGCCUCGCCUGUUUACCAAAAACAUCGCCUCCUGCAAUAUAAGUAAGUAUAAGAGGUCCAGCCUGCCCAGUGACCAUAAGUUCAACGGCCGCGGUAUUUUGACCGUGCAAAGGUAGCGCAAUCACUUGUCUUUUAAAUAAAGACCUGUAUGAAUGGUUAAACGAGGGCUUAACUGUCUCCUUUUUCAAGUCAGUGAAAUUGAUCUAUCCGUGCAGAAGCGGGUAUAAUAAUACAAGACGAGAAGACCCUUUGGAGCUUAAGGCGUAAAACUCAAUCACGUUAAACAACUCAAUAAAAAGUAAUUUCCACUAAACCUUGUGAUAGAUGAGACCACUGCCUUCGGUUGGGGCGACCACGGAGAAAAAUAAAACCUCCAAGUGGAAUGGGGAAAUACCCUAAAACCAAGAGAGACAUCUCUAAGAUACAAAACAUUUGACCAUAAAUGAUCCGGCUAACCAUGACCGAUCAACGAACCAAGUUACCCUAGGGAUAACAGCGCAAUCCUCUCCCAGAGUCCAUAUCGACGAGAGGGUUUACGACCUCGAUGUUGGAUCAGGACAUCCUAAUGGUGCAGCCGCUAUUAAGGGUUCGUUUGUUCAACGAUUAAAGUCCUACGUGAUCUGAGUUCAGACCGGAGCAAUCCAGGUCAGUUUCUAUCUGUAAUGCUACUUCUCCUAGUACGAAAGGACCGGAGAAAGGGGGCCCAUGCUUAAAGCACGCCCCACCCCUAAUUUAUGAAAACAAAUAAAUAUAGGUAAAGGGAGGGCCACAACCCAAACCAGCCAAAAUAAGGACAU
rnacentral:rRNA from 1 species